rnacentral:rRNA from 1 species
UCUGUCCUUGGUGAAGAAAAAAUGACGGUAGCCAAGGAGGAAGCCCCGGCUAACUACGUGCCAGCAGCCGCGGUAAUACGUAGGGGGCGAGCGUUGUCCGGAUUUACUGGGCGUAAAGGGUGAGUAGGCGGUUAUAUAUGUCAGAUGUAAAAGGCUAUGGCUUAACCAUAGUUGGCAUUUGAAACUGUAUGACUUGAGUGCAGGAGAGGUAAGUGGAAUUCCUAGUGUAGCGGUGAAAUGCGUAGAUAUUAGGAGGAACACCAGUGGCGAAGGCGACUUACUGGACUGUAACUGACGCUGAGUCACGAAAGCGUGGGUAGCAAACAGGAUUAGAUACCCUGGUAGUCCACGCUGUAAACGAUGAGUGCUAGGUGUUGGCCAGCGAUGGUCAGUGCCGCAGUAAACACAUUAAGCACUCCGCCUGGGGAGUACGUACGCAAGUAUGAAACUCAAAGGAAUUGACGGGGACCCGCACAAGCAGCGGAGCAUGUGGUUUAAUUCGAAGCAACGCGAAGAACCUUACCAAGGCUUGACAUCCCCUUGACCAGUGCAGAGAUGCACUCUCUCCUUCGGGAGCAAGGGUGACAGGUGGUGCAUGGUUGUCGUCAGCUCGUGUCGUGAGAUGUUGGGUUAAGUCCCGCAACGAGCGCAACCCUUAUCCUUAGUUGCCAGCAGGUAAAGCUGGGCACUCUAGGGAGACUGCCGAUGAUAAAUCGGAGGAAGGUGGGGAUGACGUCAAAUCAUCAUGCCCCUUAUGUCUUGGGCUACACACGUGCUACAAUGGUCGGUACAACGGGGAGCGAAGGAGUGAUCUGGAGCAAAUCCCAAUAAACCGAUCUCAGUUCGGAUUGUAGGCUGCAACUCGCCUACAUGAAGUCGGAGUUGCUAGUAAUCGCGAAUCAGAACGUCGCGGUGAAUGCGUUCCCGGGUCUUGUACACACCGA